UGCAAGUCGAGCGGAACGAUCCUAGCUUGCUAGGAGGCGUCGAGCGGCGGACGGGUGAGUAAUGCAUAGGAAUCUGCCCGGUAGUGGGGGAUAACUUGAGGAAACUCAAGCUAAUACCGCAUACGCCCUACGGGGGAAAGCAGGGGCUCUUCGGACCUUGCGCUAUCGGAUGAGCUUAUGUCGGAUUAGCUGGUUGGUGAGGUAACGGCUCACCAAGGCGACGAUCCGUAGCUGGUCUGAGAGGAUGAUCAGCCACAUCGGGACUGAGACACGGCCCGAACUCCUACGGGAGGCAGCAGUGGGGAAUAUUGGACAAUGGGGGCAACCCUGAUCCAGCCAUGCCGCGUGUGUGAAGAAGGCCCUCGGGUUGUAAAGCACUUUCAGCGAGGAAGAAUGCUUGUCGGUUAAUACCCGGCAAGGGAGACAUCACUCGCAGAAGAAGCACCGGCUAACUCCGUGCCAGCAGCCGCGGUAAUACGGAGGGUGCGAGCGUUAAUCGGAAUUACUGGGCGUAAAGCGUGCGUAGGCGGCUUGAUAAGCCGGUUGUGAAAGCCCCGGGCUCAACCUGGGAACGGCAUCCGGAACUGUUAGGCUAGAGUGCAGGAGAGGAAGGUAGAAUUCCCGGUGUAGCGGUGAAAUGCGUAGAGAUCGGGAGGAAUACCAGUGGCGAAAGCGGGCCUUCUGGACUGACACUGACGCUGAGGUACGAAAGCGUGGGUAGCAAACAGGAUUAGAUACCCUGGUAGUCCACGCCGUAAACGAUGUCGACUAGCCGUUGGGGUCCUCGAGACCUUUGGUGGCGCAGUUAACGCACUAAGUCGACGCCUGGGGAGUACGGCCGCAAGGUAAAACUCAAAUGAAUUUGACGGGGGCCGCACAAGCGGUGGAGCCAUUUGUGGUUUAAUUCGAUGCACGCGA
rnacentral:rRNA from 1 species